rnacentral:lncRNA from 1 species
ACGAAGGCUGCGUUGAAUGCAGCCUCUCCCUUCAUAUUUAUGAAUCAUUUACAAUCUUACUUAUCUUGGUGACAAGCAUAAAGAUUCUUCCUUUCUUUAGUUUCAUUGCACAAUAAAGCUUCUUAAAGCUAUUUCAUUUUCUGUGUCAAUAAGCUCUUAUGAGCAGAAUCUAUCUUGUUUUGAGUUUGUCUACAUGGUAUCAGAGCACCAGGGAGUAAAUCCUUGGAUCUAUGGGUUUUAUUUUCACCAGCUUCCAAUAUACAACCCUUUCUGUCACUAAAGCUCCAAACUUGCUUCACUCACGCUGCUCUCCUUCAGUCACGCUGGUACAAUUCACUCCAUGAAGCAAGAGGACGAAAUCAUCCAGCCUUUUCAACACCAGAACAACAAGACGUUUUCUUUAAGCUUCAGUUAGAUGAAGCUGUGUGUUUUCUGGGUAGCGAUGAAGCUGAAGCUGUGAAGUAGGGCUCAGAACAGACAGAGAAGAAAGAAAGACUUCCUCAUCACUUUAUGGACGGUAUUGUCUAUUUCUUUCUACUGAGACAGAACAAAAGAUGAAAAAUAAAUGUCUCUGUGUUGGAUUGAGUUGCUGGUUAGCUUAAAUUCUUGGGUUAAGAUAGGUUUGGAACCGAAGCUAUAAUGAAAUAGGCAGGUUUGGGUUUGUUGCGUGUGGAAGCUCUGGCUUUAAUGCUAAUGCACACAAAGUGCUCGCUGAAAUGCUCACAAGAAGGUCAGUUUGUUUAGAGGCAGAGUUUUGGUGAUAUUGAUGGGAAGCAGAGAGUGAGUAUAGUUGUAUUUGGUAGGUGUGGAAAGAGUGUUCUUCAUUAGACACAUUAGAAGGAUGAAAUGGGUAAAGUAAACCUAGAUUCAUAGUGAGACAAAUAGGCCACAAUUAUACCUCUGAGUGAGAUCAACUAAGCUCUCCAAGUUCAAGAGAAACCUCUGAGUGAAGCCAUGUGAUACUCUCCAAGUAUAGGUCUGAAUAGAUCUCACACUAAUGUUUGUCUACAAUGGUGAGUAGAACCAUUUGCUAACAUCUCAAGCAUCCUACUUCAUCUACUUAUGCUCAUUUCAAGCCAUAUCCAUCUGUGCUUUCAAACUCAGCGUAGCUGCUCCAUCCACGCUAAGUUUGCGGGGGAGUAUUAGCAAGGCCCAAAUAAAGACCGGAAGCCCAUUAUCUAAGCUCAUUGUAUCUAGGUUUUCUAGCAUAUUGAGUUGAUAUAAAUAUCUGUGUAAGGUCACUUUGCAAUGUAACGAAGGCUGCGUUGAAUGCAGCCUCUCCCUUCAUAUUUAUGAAUCAUUUACAAUCUUACUUAUCUUGGUGACAAGCAUAAAGAUUCUUCCUUUCUUUAGUUUCAUUGCACAAUAAAGCUUCUUAAAGCUAUUUCAUUUUCUGUGUCAAUAAGCUCUUAUGAGCAGAAUCUAUCUUGUUUUGAGUUUGUCUACAAGAAUGAGGGUUUGCAUAUAAACCUUACGUAUGGUCUUACUAAACCAGUUUAAAUCAAACUAAUGGUAUUGCAGAAUCAUCUCCUCUCUUUGCAGCCUCGCGAAACUGAGCAAACACACCAUCAAUUUUCAGAAAAUUUUCUCUUAAACUAAUGGUAUUGCUCAUAUUCAGCUAAAAAGGCAUUAGAUAAAAAAAAAAGCUGCACAUUUAGUUACCUGUUUUGCCCACUCUUCACGCCUAGUUCUCUUCAGAUAGUUUUGGACAAACAACCUGUCCGUUGAAAUCAGUUUGCAUAUACCGGUUAAUACUUUCUUUAAGGUUUGCCUUUGUAUAUUCUUCUUGCUAAGCCAACGGAGCAAUCCAAACCUUUGAGCAGUUGAAGAAGCUCACCUAUUUCAGCCUUAAAUCUGAAAGAUCCAGGGCCAAUCACUUGACUUUUGCAAUCGUAUAAAGCAUCUACAGCCUACACACCAAAAGUUUUAUCUUUGAAUAAGCACUCAACUCCGUACCCAGUCGUUCUUUAACAAAUGAAGAACUUUACGCAUGUCUUGAUGAUCUUUUGCUAACAUGGACAACGGACUGAGCAGUUUGUUCGUUAAUGGGCUUUACCAAGAGGCGUUGUCAAAGUAUGCGCUUGCUUUAGAGCUUGUUCCGGAGUUUCCCGAAUGCACAGAGCUUCGGUCUAUAUGCCGUUUAAACAGAGGAGUGUGCCUCUCUGAGGAAGAGCUUCAGCUUCUCUGCGAAUACGUACGCCCAUCUUCUUCUUCCUUAGAUUAAUCUGUAUCUUGUUUAUUGAGCCAUUCAUCUUGACAAUUAUUAGUCUUUGUUUGGAAGAGACUGGCCCAAUAAAACUGCAAUUAGAAUUGGUUCAAAUGAGGAAGUAAUUGCUUCUCAAGCAUCUCAUGUUCUUCUGUUGUUGGAUUAUAGAUAGAUACCAAAUGAUUAGUUUACGCGAGACAUCCAUUGUUACAUUUUGAAGUAUUUAUUUUCCAUUUGGAGGCAUUAAAUUGUUAUUUUUUCUCUUUGUUGUAAUCUUUAGACAUCCAGCCAAUAUCACACUUCUGCGUGGAAAUCAUGAAAGUAGGCAGCUAACGCAUGUAUACAUUAUCCCUGAGUAGAUGUAUUUGUGUCUGUAGCUAAGCUGAAGGAGAUGGGAAACUCAAUUUUGGGUCGAUUUGGGAAGAGCAUGGACAACUUCAAGGCUGUUAAAGAUCCCAACACUGGCUCCUACUCUCUUUCUUUCCAAAACUGGUCACUAUAUCAUUAUGUUGUUCUUUCUACCACUUGAUUUAUAGCAACAAAAUGUUUAAUAAUAUUGCAAUGUGUUAUGUUCUUGACGCAUUGGUAGUGAAAUGAUGAGCAAUCUUUUUUGGAUUUUAGUAUAGCUGUAAAUUCAAAAUUCAAUGUUAAAACUUACAACAAUGGAUAAUGUUCUCACAAAAUUUUCGUUUAUUUUACUAAUCUUUAUUUUUAUGUUUUAAAUCUAUGUUUAAAAUGUUAUGUUUAAGAAUUUAAUAAAUAAAUUUGAAGUUUAAUAAAAUAAUGUUUAAUAUUUUUUUAAAGAACCCUUAAAUAAGAGACUUGCAAUGGACAACACAAAUAUACCAGUCUCUUAAGUAACUCUUAAACCUACUUUUCCAACUAAAAAAAUAUUAAAAAAAGAUUAAGAACCUCUCAAUGAGUACGUGGGAUAAUGAUACUCUAAUGUCUAGAAGAGUCUGUGUUUCAAAAAAAAAAAAAAUGUCUAGAAGAGUGAUUUGACUAAACUAAUAAACAACGUAUAAUCUUUGAUCAAUGCUUGAUAAUUUAUAUUUCUAAAGGAUUUUUUUUUCCAAAUAGAGAUUAGCAGAUUUUAGGAAUAUGAUUUAUUUUAGGAAUAUGAUUUAUCUAAAAUCUAUAAUAAUUUAAAGAAUAUAAUCUCAAAGACUAGUGCAUACUUGACAUCUCUUUUACCAUGGCUUGUUCUAGAGAAGAUAGAAUUCUUGCAGUAGCCUUUUCUGGAUGUGUGGAUAACUGGAAAUGCAUCGUUGCUUCUCCCCAUGUUAUUCCAGGUGGAGUUUCUUAAAACAUCCUACUUGUCACAUUGUACUGAAUGCUGCUUCCAAUUUAUAAUUGUAGUUUUUUCUGUUGUCUACGGAGGAUUACACCAAGCCGGAAAAGGAGCAAUCAUGCAUAUCACCCGGAAACUAAGAAGACAACUGAAAAGUACCUAACAUUACAAAAACUAGGAAGGAACAAGGUCCCUAAGAAAUUUUGAGCUAAUAAACAAUUAUCAAAGGAAGGAAGCAAGUCUAUAAGAGCAGCCGGGACAAACAAGAAAGCGAUGAGGGUCAAGAUUAUUGAGGUGAUAGCAAGGCUUCAAAAAAACUUCUGAUACGAACCACAAGCAACCGCCACUGACAAACAAGUUUCCACUAAGGGAAGCCACAAGAAAACGGAUUUCCACCCAAGCAGCAGACGUAAAAACGGGUGACAAUCAAACUACUCAAUCACCCAACGCAAUUGAGCUGAAUCUCCAUAGUCUCUUACCAAAAAAUCCGGAAGAACCUGUCGGUUUUAAACCAAGGAAUGGCACGACAUCACCAAACUGAAGCUUCACAAUGGAUAAGUCAAUAAUAAACCCAAAGGUUGAGCACCGAGACCUUACCGAAGAUAAUUCGAGAAGAAACAUGACUAUCGAGAGCAGAGGACAGAGCCUUAGAUCGCAGCUGGGAGACCCAAACAGAAGAUACAAAGAAACCAACACUGCCUCACGACCAACCAACUCUAUCACUUCAAAGAACACUUAAGCUACUUAAGUUAAGCACUAACCAGAAAAAACCACACUCCAAAGAUUAAAGGUCCUUCAACAAAGACGACCAUU